rnacentral:rRNA from 1 species
UACGUAGGGGGCAAGCGUUGUCCGGAUUUAUUGGGCGUAAAGAGCGUGUAGGCGGUUAGGUAGGUCCGUUGUGAAAACUCGAGGCUCAACCUCGAGACGCCGAUGGAAACCAUCUGACUAGAGUCCGGAAGAGGAGAGUGGAAUUCCUGGUGUAGCGGUGAAAUGCGCAGAUAUCAGGAAGAACACCCGUGGCUAAGGCGGCUCUCUAGUACGGUACUGACGCUGAGACGCGAAAGCGUGGGGGGGCGAACAGG